UGAGAAUUAAGUCCCUGUUACCAGCUCAGCUCUCAACACAGCAAGGACAUUAUUGCUGCCGGCUGUUUGAUUAGAGGACAUGCUAUUGUCAGUCAUUAUGAAGAAAGCCUUGGCCACAUGAGGAGAAAUCUGUCUGAAUCAGAGGAGCCUCCUGAUGUCAGAAUUGUCUUGUGCAAGGCUGUCCCAGAGUCCUGUUGUAUGUCUGAAAUAACUGAGAGCAGGGAUGAGUUAGAAGUCUUUGGGACAGUGUUGAGAAAGUACAACUCUGGAUUUGUUGCUGGCUUGGAGAUUUUUUACGCCUAAUGAAGAGAUCUGUGACAGCCAUGUCCCCCUGUGCCCUGCAUAGGAUGAAGGAAGACAAGUAUUUGGAUCAUAGCACGUUUUGGGUGGUAAAGCUCUUUUAACACUAGCCCUCAUAAAGGCCCCAAAUAUUGGGAGCUGUUUUAUUUGGCUCUUAAAUUCUUACUCCCAACUCAUAA